UACAGGGGGUGCAAACGUUGCUCGGAAUUAUUGGGCGUAAAGCGCGCGUAGGCGGCUAUUUAAGUCGGAUGUGAAAGCCCUUGGCUCAACUGAGGAAGUGCACCCGAAACUGAAUGGCUUGAGUACCAAAGAGGGUCGCGGAAUUCCCGGUGUAGAGGUGAAAUGCGCAGAUAUCAGGAGGAACACCGGUGGCGAAGGCGGAUCUCUGGGCCUUGCCUGACGCUGAGGCGCGAAAGCUAGGGGAGCGAACAGG
rnacentral:rRNA from 1 species